rnacentral:rRNA from 1 species
GACGUAGGGCGCGAGCGUUGUCCGGAUUUAUUGGGCGUAAAGAGCUCGUAGGCGGCUUGUUGCGUCGACUGUGAAAACCCGCGGCUUAACUGCGGGCUUGCAGUUGAUACGGGCAGGCUAGAGUUCGGUAGGGGAGACUGGAAUUCCGUGGUGUAGCGGUGAAAUGCGCAGAUAUCAGGAGGAACACCGGUGGCGAAGGCGGGUCUCUGGGCCGAUACUGACGCUGAGGAGCGAAAGCGUGGGGAGCAAACAGG